UACGGGGGGGGCAAGCGUUGUUCGGAAUUACUGGGCGUAAAGGGCGCGUAGGCGGGUGGACAAGUCUCUCGUGAAAGCCCACGGCUCAACCGUGGAAUUGCGGGAGAUACUGUCUGUUUUGAGUCCGGGGGAGGAGGGUGGAAUUCCCAGUGUUGCGGUGGACUGCGUAGAUAUUGGCAGGAACACCGGUGGCGAAGGCGGCUCUCUGGACCGGUAGUGGCGCUGAGGCGCGAAAGCUAGGGGAGCAAACGGG
rnacentral:rRNA from 1 species